rnacentral:rRNA from 1 species
UACGUAGGGGGCUAGCGUUGCUCGGAAUUACUGGGCGUAAAGCGCACGUAGGCGGUCUUUUAAGUCGGUGGUGAAAUCCUGGAGCUCAACUCCAGAACUGCCUUCGAUACUGGAAGACUUGAGUCCGGGAGAGGUGAGUGGAACUGCGAGUGUAGAGGUGAAAUUCGUAGAUAUUCGCAAGAACACCAGUGGCGAAGGCGGCUCACUGGCCCGGUACUGACGCUGAGGCGCGAAAGCGUGGGGAGCAAACAGG